rnacentral:rRNA from 1 species
UACGAAGGGGGCUAGCGUUGCUCGGAAUCACUGGGCGUAAAGCGCACGUAGGCGACUUUCUAAGUCAGGGGUGAAAUCCUGGAGCUCAACUCCAGAACUGCCUUUGAUACUGGGAAGCUCGAGUCCGGAAGAGGUGAGUGGAACUCCGAGUGUAGAGGUGAAAUUCGUAGAUAUUCGGAAGAACACCAGUGGCGAAGGCGGCUAUCUGGACGGUUACUGACGCUAAGACUCGAAAGCGUGGGGAGCAAACAGG